rnacentral:lncRNA from 1 species
GUUUCUGAGUCGGACCUAUCUAUCCGAGUGGGAGCCAUCUAAGAACUAUCUAAUUUCAAUGAUACUUGGUUUCGAGUGGGAGUUAAGAAUCAUUUAAUAUCAAUGAUUGUUAGUUCUGAUGGGAGCUAUCUAUCUGAGUGGGAGCCAUCCAAGAACUAUCUAAUUUAAUGAUUCUUGGUUUCGAGUUGGAUCUAAGAACUAUGUAAUGCCAAUGAUUCUUGGUUCAAAAAAUCAGAAGAUGAAUUUUGAGGAAAGUGAUGGAAGUAUAUAUAUGGAGUAUAGAAUUUCGACCUAAUCUAAGAUAUGGUGAAAGUUCUGUUCAAACAUUAUGUUUAUUGAGAACAUUCAGGCUCUUGAAAGUUAAAUGGAAGACUAAUGAAUUUCUAAUAGAUAAAACUCAUUUUUUUUAAAAAGGUUAUACUCAAUGUAAGUGUAUUGAGUUGUAUAAUUUUUUUCAUAACAAAAGGAUUCACUUCUGUACAUCAAUGCUAGCCGUGAUGGUAUGUUUAAAUUUAGAGUACACCAAAUCGACCUAGAGACUAUAUUUUUAUUCUCAAUUGAGAAAUGAUUAAAGAUAUCAACAUGAAUCGACUUUUAGAUUUUAUAUUAAAGGUUUUUUUUUUGUUUAGUGGUAACUUUACAGUUACACACAUGACCAAAUACAGUCAUCUCGACAAUCGUACUUAAAUUUUUAACAGGGUUAAAUCUCGUACAAGAAUUUCGUCAUAUGGACAAAAAUUACUGUAUUUGUAUAAAAGGUCUGAUGGUAGGUUGUAAGUCUAAUAUUGAUAUUGAUGACAUUGGAUUGGCUAAGCAUGAUAAGGAGUGUAUAGAGACCAUUUUGAAAUGAUUGUCGUCAAUUUUUGAGACAAAAGACAUAGAUUUAACAAAUUGUAUGAUUUAUGCUAAGAAUACUUUUCGUAUGUUCUUACUCUAUCAUAAGAGUUUUAUACUAUAAAUGGUCAUGUGGAAUUGCAACUGUGACCAUAUAAGUCUUCAUAAAUGUCUAAAGAUUUCAUAAGCGCACAAAAAAAUAUCCAGAGAACCAUAUCUAGUACGAUUAAGAGUUAGGAGAUAGAAGUAUACUAUGAUAUAUACUGUUGCUAAUAAUAGUCAUGCCAUGGAUCUAAUCAGUAGGUAUCAAUAUUAUCUUUAGAAAAUGUAUUGUGAUAUCUGAAGGGUGCUGCUGUCAGUUAUUCUAUCUCGUUGUCAAACGAAUAACUUGUGAUUGGAAUAGAUAUACAAUUGUUGACUAAGAAUGAGAGUUAGUCGAG